rnacentral:lncRNA from 1 species
AAUCAAGAAGAGGAUGAGAUCAACGGAGGAUGUAAUAUUUGGUUAUAAUAGAGGUUUUGUAAUCUGCAGUGAGGUUGUGUUUAUUUUUAUAUAUCGUGGAAAAAGUGGAGGAUGUAAUGAGGCGACGAAAGAUCGUUGGUUCAAAGCAUCUGCCGGGUUUUGGGAAGGCAAAGGAACUUAGUUCAAUACCUAUUGGGUUUUAAAACAGACUGGGCUUAUCAUCUCUAUUCCUUUUUUCAGAUUAGCCCGACCCAGCCCAAAUAACAGCCAUAUUUUCAGCAAGCUACGCUGAACAGUGUGACUAGCUUAAUAGUUUACACAGUUCACAGUUGCAUCUUUCAAUUUCAUAAAAAAAUGGCGAGGACAUGGUUUUCCAGAACCUUCUCCCCCGGCCCACCGCUUCUCACUCUCCGCGUUUGCAUCGUUGGAAGUGGACCCGCCGGCUUCUACACGGCCGAGAAGGUAAAGCCUUGGAUUCUAGAGGUUUUGUAGAGUUAAGUGAGAGGAACUUGAAGUUUGUGAGUUCAUACAUAAUGUAAUUGAGCAGUAUGAAAUUUUUGAAUGCUUGUUUGUUGAGUGUUUAGCGUCAUUUUGUGCUUCCCACGAUUCGUUCGUUUAGUACCUCUUAUGUUUGAGCUUAUUGUGAUCAGAAAACUUGCAACUGAUUGAAUGCUCAUUCUUUGGAAAUGUCACUCUUGGAUCCUCUGUCACUCUUCCCGAGCUCCGCCAGCUGUAUGAUGUGGUGAGUUUCUAGCUCAAUAAUGCGAAUUCGUUCUUGUUGUGGUUGUUUGUUUGAACAAGUUAUUUAUGCAAUUGAGCAGGUUGUGCUUGCCGUAUGGCGCUGAGAGUGAUAGAGUUCUUGGUAUACCAGGAGAGGUAUGUAUUGCUUGUUUCGAUUUUUUUUUCUGCCGUUCUUUGUACAAUAUACUGGAUAGUGUUAAUUCAAAAUGAAUGUGGGGAUCAAACUUAGAGGGUGUGAAAUGGUAAUAUAUCUUAUUGUAUAGGAGGGCCUAAAUAAGAUCAAGCCUUCAUUAGGGUGAUUACAGCGCAGCUUUCCUUGCUUGAGUUUUGACCGACAUGGCAGGUUGCAAGCAUAUCUGAAGACCUUAAGCAAGGCAUAGUAUCCUCAUCAUCUAACUCAGGCAAGGAAGGUCUCCUCCAAUUGCUGGGCAACCGAAAUGUAAGAGUUGUACCAUUUAAUAGAUGGGAAAAGAUAGACUCACGAGAAAGAGAGCUUGGAUUUUUGAGAGACAAGCCUCGGGAAAAAUUAGCCACAUUGCAGGAGCUUGAGGAAGCAUCAGAGUAAUUGAAUAUAAAGGAUUAAGGUCGUCUUUAUUAGAGCUUCAGUAGUACAUUGUUUGUAAACUUAGUGAAGAUAACUAUUCGUUAAGAAUGAGCUUUCAUUUGUCAUUGCUAAUAUUUGAACUUCAGGUUUAAUGGUGUUCCUUUUGAAGAAUAUGAUCACGUAUGUAUUUGUAUCCGGUAAAACUUAAUAAAUCGUGAAUCCUGCAUUAACCCUUUGAAGGAUAAAGACAAUGAUACCCAUGUCUUGAAGAAUUGCUAUCAGACAUCUCCUAUAAACAUAUAUUAAGGAUAAUACUAAGAUCAUGCAUGAUUGCUGCAUAAAUAUUCUUUAUAAGAAGAUGAAUUAGAAAUAGAAUCAGGAGAUACUUUAUUCAUAUGGACCGACUACUGCUAUAGAUAUACGCAUGCAUGAUACAGAUCGAUCAAUAACCAAACCAAAAUAGGAAGCUAGCCAACAACAACAACAGCACGUAUGUCUGUAUGUGGCCAUACUUCAAGACUUACAAGGAUGACAUGCAUGCUAUGAACUACGACCCAAUGAUGGCAGGACCCAAAACGGCAUAUUCAUCUCGUUCCAAUUCCAGUUACUUAUAGAAUCAGAGGCGAUUAGUGUAGUUCUGGACUUGUCCCCUAAAUUGAAAAUACCCAUCUCGCUUUUUAAGAUAUCACUAUAAUCUUUCGGAUACUCAUCCCGUCUAACACUUUCUGUAGCAUAGUAUAUGCAGUUCGGCUUGCAGCCAGGAAUACUUAAAGCUAAAACAGACUGGGAUUGGCUCUGACCUAAGAAUAUUGCAUCAUCCCCAAUGCAUUUUACCUCAACCAGCUGAAAGGGGGAUUUGUCUUCCUCGUUGAACACGAUCUUGCAAACGCCAAAGGAGGUUUCUUCAAACUCAUAAAAUCUUUGAACGAGCAAUAGGUCUCCGUUUGUUGACUCCACGAGAUAUUGCUCCCAACAACGUGCAUGGAAAAUAUUCCAAGCAGGUUCUGGUUUAAAACCACUAUACUGUAUCUUCGGCUGUGUAAGGUUAAUGCUAUCAACAUCCAAGGUUAGCAUCCCGGAGCCUACCAACUUAUUUCUGCUUUCAAGAAGCAAGCAGAUUUUGUUUCUAUAAAAUAUAGCAUCAUCAAACUUAAGGAAAUGUUGAUCUAGUCGGUCGAUCGUGAUCCAAGAUUCUUGUCCUCCUUUAAAUAGCGCUAACGUUGGAUUAUAAACAUUUAUAAUUCGUCGUACUACGCCGUUUGGUAUGCGGUGCGUCAAUAGCGCUAACGUUGGAUCAUGAACAUUCAUAUGUCGUCGUACUACGCCGUUUGGCAAUGGUAUGCGGUGCGGCAAUGGUCUAUAUAAUGCAAAUAGCACGUAAUAGUUUUCCGGAUGCAAAGCUGGGUUAGCAGACAAGAUAACUCUGGGGAUCCAUUCUUUAACAUGCUCGAACAUUUCUGGGAUGCAAUGCAUAUAGGGAGGAAGAUGAAUCACCUCUGAUGCUUUUCCGAAAGGGUUUCGCAGAGUUAUUUCAUGAACGAGCUUGAAUCUUCUAUUUUCAGGCCAUUCCCCGGUUGAUUGGAGUGCCGAGGCCAACCAACCUUGGCUAGAGCCACAAAGGUUCUCAUUGUAAGGCAUCGAUAAACGAAUGUUGAUGUUGUUGUAGAUUUUUCUUUCUGAAACGCUAUACAGUAGUCUUUGCUUUGUAUCAUUAUCGGAUUCAUUAGGGGCAAGCAUGAGCAUGGGAAGUAGCUUAGGCUUACUCACCCAACGUUGCUUAGUGCAAUUGUAGAGUUUUGCAACUUGCUGCAGUUCCUUACAAACAGCCGCGAAACGAACAUAAUCGACGAGCUCCAACAACUUAUCAAGAACACAAUACAGAACAUCAGUUGGAAGACAUGAAAUCUGAAGCUUCAUCUCUCUUUGUUCGCAUCCUAAUUGGCCAGUUAUUCGUCGUCUUUUAACAUGUCUCUCUUGAUCUUCUGCUCCUGCUUCUUCGUCUUCUAGACUCAUUGACACCUCAUUCGACCUAGAAAAACCAAUAUCAUCAUCAUGCUCCACCAUCCCUUAUAUCUCUAUGUUUUUCCUCUCUUGAUUUCUUUCUUUUUAUGUUCACACAGAUCAUACCGUUAUAUAGGCAAAUAAAGAAGUCAGAGACACAUUAGGAUUAGGAAACCCUAGCCCUCGGGAAAAGAGUCCAAGUCAGGUUAUGAUUAGGAAGCGUUGGAAAUCUUACAACCGUAUCCGGAGACCGUUAUACAAUGUUAAUUAAGUCAGGAGUUACACGCUAGGUGGCUUCGAUGCAUUAUCUGCACAUUAUUAGAGAUAAGAAUACCAAACCAUAAGGACAACCAAAACCUGAAACGUCUCCCUACUCACUUCGUACAACCUGCAAGAGCUUAAUUAGCUUCUCAAACCCUAAAUGCGGACUACCAAACGACGACGUCACCUUGUUCUGCAGGAAGACUUGUUCGUCAAGAAAGAGAAUCAAGCUAGUAGAGGAUGAGAUGAAUGUGAUGAUAGAUCAUUGGUUCAAAGCAUCAGCCGGGUUUUGCAAAGGCAAAAACUAGACUUUAUACCUGCGAUACUCGCGUGUGAAGGUAACUGUCUUACUUCUUAUAUUCGCUUUUCAUAAUUAUUUACACUUUUUUUUUAAUUUCUUUUUGCUUUUAACUAUAAUAACUUUUUAAGUUAGUUGUUUCAAUCAACUCAUUAAUGAUAGUUUAGGCAAAACAUAAUUUGGUAAAUUUCUUGAACCCCUCGCUUUAUUGUAGUAAAGAUAAAGAUAACAUAAUUUUGAGUCUAAGUUCAACACAAAUUAGGAUUAGUGUCAUUGGACUCGAGUCUAUUCAACACCUAUUGGGUUUUAAAACAUUGGGCUUACCAUCUCUAUUCUUUUUCAAAUUUUGCCCGACCCGACCCAAAUCACAGCCAUAUAUUCAGCAAGCAGAGCUGAACAGAAGGUAAAGCCUUGGAUAUUCGUUUUAGCAAUUGAAGUGUUUUUGGUCUCUGUAAAUUGAAUGACGAUUUCGAAUUUGAUGGAUACAAUUGGUUUCUGAUUUGAAUUAAACUGAAUUAGACGCUGAAGGUGCACUAGGAAACUCAGGUUGAUAUCAUUGACCGGUUGCAUGCCCACGCCUUUCGGGUUGUCCGCUCCCAGGUGAUCAUAUGAUUCCCGAAUUUCAUUGCUAUUUCGGAACUUCUAGAGGUUUUGUAGAGUUAAGUAAGAGGAACUUGAAAUUUGUGAGUUCAUACAUAAUGUUAUUGAGCAAGGAUGAAAUUUUUGAAUGCUUUCGGUGUGCCAAAAUGUACCUCUUAUGUUUGAGCUUAUUGUGAUCAGAAAACUUGCAACUGAGAGUUGCUAUUGGUUUUAAAUAACAUCCUUCCGCUCUCUCUCACAGUCUAGGUAAUAUAAUAAUUCUCUUUUAUCUUUAGUAAUAUUCCCUUCCAUUGGUGUUUUGUGGCUUGUUGCUGUCAUUUGGUAAGGAAGAGAUGAAAAAUAAUUGAAUUUGAAAAAUGGGUUUAUGAGUUGCUGUCUGAGGCUGCUACAUCAAGACCUUCGCAUCCGAGUUCAGAUCCAGUGAACUCCACUUUGUUUUCUUUCGGAAGCCAGAUAAGUUUCUGAAAUCUGAUGAGAGAAGUGGCCAUAUUUCUGGUGUCAGACUUGAGAAGACAAAGCUCAUAGGUAAUUUAUCCUUCAUAAAUGUGUGAUGUUAAAUUUUUUAUGUAUUUUCAGUGCAAUGAACGCAGCAGUUGAUCACUGGAUGUCUGGACUAUAGAUUCGUAUUGUACCGUAGUAUAACAGAAGAGGUCAAUCAAGUUAACGUGAAAGCUGUUAAUAACAUUAGUAAAUGAUCUAUAUGAUUAGCUGUCCAAAACUCCAAAUUAUAGUGAUAAAUCUGCUUCCUUCAC